rnacentral:rRNA from 1 species
GAUGAACGCUGGCGGCGUGCAUAACACAUUCAAGUCGAACGGAACUCAAUCGAUUAAUCCUUCGGGAAGCGUCGAGCGAGUUUAGUGGCGGACGGGUGAGUAACGCGUGAGCAACCUGCCUCUGUAAGUGGAAUAACGUCUGGAAACGGACGCUAAUACCGCAUAACACAUAUUGACCGCAUGAUCGAUAUGUCAAAGAUUUUAUCGUACAGAGAUGGGCUCGCGUCCCAUUAGGUAGUUGGUGAGGUAACGGCCCACCAAGCCGACGAUGGGUAGCCGGACUGAGAGGUUGAACGGCCACAUUGGAACUGAGAUACGGUCCAGACUCCUACGGGAGGCAGCAGUGGGGAAUAUUGGGCAAUGGGCGCAAGCCUGACCCAGCGACGCCGCGUGAGGGAAGAAGAUCUUCGGAUUGUAAACCUUUGUUAACAGGGACGAAAAAAAUGACGGUACCUGAAUAGAAAGCCACGGCUAACUAACGUG